GGGGGAAAGGAACCCAAUGGGGUUUCCUUUGGAACGGGGGAGUGAGCGGUAAAAGCUCAAAUUUGAAAUCUGGUACUUUCAGUGCCCGAGUUGUAAUUUGUAGAAUUUGUCUUUGAUUAGGUCCUUGUCUAUGUUCCUUGGAACAGGACGUCAUAGAGGGUGAGAAUCCCGUUUGGCGAGGAUACCUUUUCUCUGUAAGACUUUUUCGAAGAGUCGAGUUGUUUGGGAAUGCAGCUCAAAGUGGGUGGUAAAUUCCAUCUAAAGCUAAAUAUUGGCGAGAGACCGAUAGCGAACAAGUACAGUGAUGGAAAGAUGAAAAGAACUUUGAAAAGAGAGUGAAAAAGUACGUGAAAUUGUUGAAAGGGAAGGGCAUUUGAUCAGACAUGGUGUUUUUUGCAUGCACUCGCCUCUCGUGGGCUUGGGCCUCUCAAAAAUUUCACUGGGCCAACAUCAAUUCUGGCAGCAGGAUAAAUCAUUAAGAAUGUAGCUACUUCGGAAUGGUAUUACCUUUUGGAAUUAUGGUAACCCGGAAUGGAGAACGGCCCUCCGCCAAGAAGGUGGCCUAAUGGUUUAAUGGCCCCCCUCUG
rnacentral:rRNA from 1 species